CACGUAGGGGGCGAGCGUUGUCCGGAAUCAUUGGGCGUAAAGAGCUCGUAGGCGGCUCGGUAAGUCGGGUGUGAAACCCCCAGGCUCAACCUGGGGACGCCACCCGAUACUGCUGUGGCUAGAGUCCAGUAGGGGAGUGUGGAAUUCCCGGUGUAGCGGUGAAAUGCGCAGAUAUCGGGAGGAACACCAGCGGCGAAGGCGGCACUCUGGGCUGGAACUGACGCUGAGGAGCGAAAGCGUGGGGAGCAAACAGG
rnacentral:rRNA from 1 species